rnacentral:lncRNA from 1 species
GGAGUUCGUUACAUUUCUUCACGAAUGCAAAAUAAACGAUGUUUUCCCGAUGUCUAUUCAUCGUAUACAUUUACCUAUUAAGUCAAGAAGUAUCAAAAAGCAAGUAAAGUACCAAUGUCUGAAAUUCGCGCACACGGAUGCCAAGAGAACCUUAUACAUGCUUAAGAGGAAAGUCCGCCAUUAUGAACUAUUGAUGAUCACUAAGUAUGGAGGCUCCAUACAGCUUAUAUUGCACCAUACUAAGAUGCAAUUUAACAGAUUCACGCAACAAACAAGGAACAGAUAUGUUAAAAAGUUCAAAUGGAUCUUGUAUAAACAGC